CAGCCCGUCUUCACUGCUGUUCUCUGAUUCUGAACAGAUGUGAUGCACUCUAACUUAGACUCAUGCUACGGUUUGGCUCCAAGACAGCACGUACCAUGUCCAAUUCCUUCCUGCAGCCCGAAUUACCACUCUGGAAAGUAUACGGAGAAGCAUAUGCCAGCCCUUCAGUAAGCAAUAUCCACAGGGGAGAGAGAAGACCAAGUGUCGUCUGCAUUUGAGCCAUGGUACACAGACAGAACCCUGCAGUGUAUCUAUGGAUGUGCUGGUACACACUGUAUAACCCAGCUGGCCUCAGACUCAAGGCAAUCUAGUCCUGGGAUUAUAGGUACAGAGGCUUGAACCUGAGCCCUCAAGCUUGCACAGCAAGCAUGUUACUGGUUGAGCCACCAUCUGGACCCAGAAGCCCUUGUUUUCUUGCUGUCUAUCUCUGAAGACAACUCUCAGCAGUUCACUCUAUUACCUCCAGACUGCGUACUUCUUCAUUCACGUCCAAGGGAGCAGAGGUAGAAUGUCUUUUUUCCACGUGUCUCUGCUUCUUCUUCCCUAGGCGUGCCCUUUGCCCUGACAACAGUUGAGAUGGGUUCUCUACAUGCAAAGACCCCUGUAGUUAAAGGAUUAGACUGGGCUUGGGUUAAAGUCCUGAAUCAUCUAUCUCCCACCUCAAAUUCCCUUUUCCAGGCAAUGCUGUAGUGUGUCCUGUCCAAAGUCAUGGUGAAAUCUGAUUGUGUUUGUAGCAGCAUUUGGCAGGUGGGUCCUUAAAGGGAUGAUGAUGUCAUUAAAAGAUCUCAGUAGCUUCCUUGUUGGAGCGGGUGGAUCUCAGAAGUGAGUCUCUUGGGGAAAUAGAUGAGUUACCAAGACAACAGGUUUCUAUAGAGUAAUGCCCCUGUAGAGUAAGAUCAUGAUGACUGCUCCUAGCAGUGAAACCCUAACUAAGACACAAAGUGUUUUGUCUCUUCCAAAUGAGCUCAUUUGCCUGCCUUCCACAUUUCCACCAUGUAAUGGCAUGGCACAAGGCUCUCACCAGAUGUAACCAUAGAACCUUAUAUUCCCAUCAUCCAGAACUACGAAAUGAACUCAUCUCUGUAAAUUAUUCAGUCUCAAGCAUUCUGUCACAAAAAUGAAAACCCAGAAAGGGUUCACAGUUCCAAAUUUACAAAUUUACAAUUUACAAAUUCAAAAGAAUAAAGAUCUGGAGGGGGGUGCUUAUGCUGACUGAGGUAGAGGGUUUUUUAGCCAUGUUCCUGGCAUCUAGGAAGUGCAGAAAUGGGUAUGUGGUUCUCACCAGAGCAGGCCAAAGUGGCUGAUGCUUGUCACAAACAGCAAAGUCAGAACAAUUCACGCUCUGAAUUUAAUGGAACAAGAUGUCACAUUACCUGAGGACUAAAUAUCAUCUUUAUAGCCAGAGCUUUGUCAGGAUUCCAUCCCAAAAACCCUGCCCAUGAGAGUAUGGUGGUUUGAAUAUGCUUGGUACAGGGAG
rnacentral:sRNA from 1 species